AGCGAACGCUGGCGGCAUGCCUAACACAUGCAAGUCGAACGAGACCUUCGGGUCUAGUGGCGCACGGGUGCGUAACGCGUGGGAACCUGCCCUUAGGUUCGGAAUAACUCCCCGAAAGGGGUGCUAAUACCGGAUAAUGUCUUCGGACCAAAGAUUUAUCGCCUUUGGAUGGGCCCGCGUUGGAUUAGCUAGUUGGUAGGGUAAAAGCCUACCAAGGCGACGAUCCAUAGCUGGUCUGAGAGGAUGAUCAGCCACACUGGGACUGAGACACGGCCCAGACUCCUACGGGAAGCAGCAGUGGGGAAUAUUGGACAAUGGGCGAAAGCCUGAUCCAGCAAUGCCGCGUGAGUGAUGAAGGCCUUAGGGUUGUAAAGCUCUUUUACCCGGGAUGAUAAUGACAGUACCGGGAGAAUAAGCUCCGACUAACUCCGUG
rnacentral:rRNA from 1 species